AUUGAACGCUGGCGGCAUGCCUUACACAUGCAAGUCGAACGGCAGCACGGGAGCAAUCCUGGUGGCGAGUGGCGAACGGGUGAGUUAUACAUCGGAACGUGCCCAAUCGUGGGGGAUAACGUAGCGAAAGCUACGCUAAUACCGCAUACGAUCUACGGAUGAAAGCGGGGGAUCGCAAGACCUCGCGCGAAUGGAGCGGCCGAUGGCAGAUUAGGUAGUUGGUGAGGUAAAGGCUCACCAAGCCUGCGAUCUGUAGCUGGUCUGAGAGGACGACCAGACAAACUGGGACUGAGACACGGGCCAGACUCCUACGGGAGGCAGCAGUGGGGAAUUUUGGACAAUGGGGGAAAGCCUGAUCCAGCAAUGCCGCGUGCAGGAUGAAGGCCUUCGGGGUGUAAACUGCUUUUGUACGGAACGAAACGGUCCUUUCUAAUACAAGGGGCUAAUGACGGUACCGUAAGAAUAAGCACCGGCUAACUACGUGCCAGCAGCCGCUGUAA
rnacentral:rRNA from 1 species